rnacentral:rRNA from 1 species
UACGUAGGGUGCGAGCGUUAAUCGGAAUUACUGGGCGUAAAGCGUGCGCAGGCGGUUCGUUGUGUCGGCGGUGAAAGCCCCGGGCUUAACCUGGGAAUGGCCGUCGAAACUGGCGAACUGGAGUGUGGCAGAGGGGGGUGGAAUUCCGCGUGUAGCAGUGAAAUGCGUAGAGAUGUGGAGGAACACCAGUGGCGAAGGCGGCUCUCUGGACUGUAACUGACGCUGAGGCACGAAAGCGUGGGGAGCAAACAGG